rfam:Rubellimicrobium mesophilum DSM 19309 genomic scaffold scaffold13, whole genome shotgun sequence.
UUUGCGGACCGGGCCCCUCUGACGACCUCGCGUCGUGAUGUCGGACCGCAUCG